rnacentral:rRNA from 1 species
AACGAACGCUGGCGGCAUGCCUAACACAUGCAAGUCGAACGAAACCUUCGGGUCUAGUGGCGCACGGGUGCGUAACGCGUGGGAACCUGCCCUUAGGUUCGGAAUAACUCCCCGAAAGGUGUGCUAAUACCGGAUAAUGUCUUCGGACCAAAGAUUUAUCGCCUUUGGAUGGGCCCGCGUUGGAUUAGCUAGUUGGUAGGGUAAAUGCCUACCAAGGCGACGAUCCAUAGCUGGUCUGAGAGGAUGAUCAGCCACACUGGGACUGAGACACGGCCCAAACUCCUACGGGAGGCAGCAGUGGGGAAUAUUGGACAAUGGGCGAAAGCCUGACGCAGCAAUGCCGCGUGAAUGAUGAAGGUCUUAGGGUUGUAAAGCUCUUUUACCCGGGAUGAUAAUGACAGUACCGGGAGAAUAAGCCCCGGCUAACUCCGUG